rnacentral:rRNA from 1 species
UGGGGAAUUUUGGACAAUGGGCGCAAGCCUGAUCCAGCCAUGCCGCGUGCGGGAAGAAGGCCUUCGGGUUGUAAACCGCUUUUGUCAGGGAAGAAAUCUUCUGAGUUAAUACCUCGGGAGGAUGACGGUACCUGAAGAAUAAGCACCGGCUAACUACGUGCCAGCAGCCGCGGUAAUACGUAGGGUGCAAGCGUUAAUCGGAAUUACUGGGCGUAAAGCGUGCGCAGGCGGUUUUGUAAGACAGAGGUGAAAUCCCCGGGCUCAACCUGGGAACUGCCUUUGUGACUGCAAGGCUUGAGUGCGGCAGAGGGGGAUGGAAUUCCGCGUGUAGCAGUGAAAUGCGUAGAUAUGCGGAGGAACACCGAUGGCGAAGGCAAUCCCCUGGGCCUGCACUGACGCUCAUGCACGAAAGCGUGGGGAGCAAACAGGAUUAGAUAGCCCCUGGUAGUCCACGCCCUAAACGAUGUCAACUGGUUGUUGGGAAGGUUCCUUCUCAGUAACGUAGCUAACGCGUGAAGUUGACCGCCUGGGGAGUACGGCCGCAAGGUUGAAACUCAAAGGAAUUGAC